rnacentral:rRNA from 1 species
GACGAACGCUGGCGGCGUGCCUAAUACAUGCAAGUUGAGCGCUGAAGGUUGGUACUUGUACCAACUGGAUGAGCAGCGAACGGGUGAGUAACGCGUGGGGAAUCUGCCUUUGAGCGGGGGACAAAAUUUGGAAACGAAUGCUAAUACCGCAUAAAAACUUUAAACACAAGUUUUAAGUUUGAAAGAUGCAAUUGCAUCACUCAAAGAUGAUCCCGCGUUGUAUUAGCUAGUUGGUGAGGUAAAGGCUCACCAAGGCGAUGAUACAUAGCCGACCUGAGAGGGUGAUCGGCCACAUUGGGACUGAGACACGGCCCAAACUCCUACGGGAGGCAGCAGUAGGGAAUCUUCGGCAAUGGACGAAAGUCUGACCGAGCAACGCCGCGUGAGUGAAGAAGGUUUUCGGAUCGUAAAACUCUGUUGGUAGAGAAGAACGUUGGUGAGAGUGGAAAGCUCAUCAAGUGACGGUAACUACCCAGAAAGGGACGGCUAACUACGUG